rfam:Dipodomys ordii contig_25873, whole genome shotgun sequence.
GGUGGCUCAGUGGUAGAGUGCUUGCCUUCCAUGCAUGAAGCCCUGGGUUCGAUUCCUCAGCACCA